rnacentral:rRNA from 1 species
CAUUACACAAAUAUGAAGGCGGGCUGGAACCUCUCGGGGUUACAGCCUUGCUGAAUUAUUCACCCUUGUCUUUUGCGUACUUCUUGUUUCCUUGGUGGGUUCGCCCACCACUAGGACAAACAUAAACCUUUUGUAAUUGCAAUCAGCGUCAGUAACAAAUUAAUAAUUACAACUUUCAACAACGGAUCUCUUGGUUCUGGCAUCGAUGAAGAACGCAGCGAAAUGCGAUAAGUAGUGUGAAUUGCAGAAUUCAGUGAAUCAUCGAAUCUUUGAACGCACAUUGCGCCCUUUGGUAUUCCAAAGGGCAUGCCUGUUCGAGCGUCAUUUGUACCCUCAAGCUUUGCUUGGUGUUGGGCGUCUUGUCUCUAGCUUUGCUGGAGACUCGCCUUAAAGUAAUUGGCAGCCGGCCUACUGGUUUCGGAGCGCAGCACAAGUCGCACUCUCUAUCAGCAAAGGUCUAGCAUCCAUUAAGCCUUUUUUUUCAACUUUUGACCUCGGAUCAGGUAGGGAUACCCGCUGAACUU